GACGAACGCUGGCGGCGUGCUUAACACAUGCAAGUCGAACGAAGUGGCGAACGGGUGAGUAACGCGUAAUCAACCUGCCCUUAAGAGGGGGACAACAGUUGGAAAAGACUGCUAAUACCGCAUACUGAAGGAGGGGAUUGGGUCUGAUUAGCUAGUAGGAGGUGUCACGGCACAAUAAGGCGAUGAUCAGUAGCCGACCUUGGAUGGUGAUCGGCCACACUGGGACGGAGACACGGCCCAGACUCCUACGGGAGGCAGCAGUAGGGAAUCUGCCGCAAUGGACGAAAGUCUGACGGAGCAACGCCGCGUGAGUGAUGACGGCCUUCGGGUUGUAAAGCUCUGUUAAUCGGGACGCGGUACCGGAAUAGAAAGCCACGGCUAACUACGUGCCAGCAGCCGCGGUAAUAC
rnacentral:rRNA from 1 species